CGUGUAGGCGGCCAGGCAGGUCCGUUGUGAAAACUGGAGGCUCAACUUCCAGACGUCGAUGGAAACCGCCCGGCUAGAGUCCGGAAGAGGAGAGUGGAAUUCCUGGUGUAGCGGUGAAAUGCGCAGAUAUCAGGAAGAACACCAAUGGCGAAGGCAGCUCUCUGGGACGGUACUGACGCUGAGACGCGAAAGCGUGGGGAGCGAACA
rnacentral:rRNA from 1 species